rnacentral:sRNA from 1 species
CGGUCCGCCCCGUGGGACACCUGUGCUCAUGCAGCCCCCACCCGGUUACCCUGACCGGGUGCGGCCUCCCAGAGGACGCCGCGAAGCCGACAGCCGUCGCACUCCAGGGAGCACAUCCAUG